CAGGGACUGGCGGGCGGGCGCGGUGCUGCUCGUGGCGGCGGCGGGCUGGCUGCCGUGGUUCUACUACGCCGUCGCCGACCA
rnacentral:tRNA from 1 species